rnacentral:tRNA from 1 species
GUGCCCGUAGCUCAGUCGGUAGAGCAUGCGACUUUUAAUCGUAGGGUCCCGGGUUCGAGUCCCGGCGGGCACACCA